ACAAAAUCCACAGAUACAUCCAAAGGAAACAUCUGAAACGAACUGCCAACGAGUGAAAGACAGACAACCACUAAAAUACACAGCUUCUCUGCCUCGGCCAGGACGCGUUCUUCAGAUGAUCAUGACCAACCUGAGGAACCGUCCUCUGAGCAGCACAAGUGUCGCCUCCAUGAGGGAGUCCAGAAAUUAAAAGUUAUAUCUUGGAAUGAUUACCUCAUCGCAAAACAAUAAAGCUAUUAAAACUGUGAAA